rnacentral:rRNA from 1 species
AGUGAACGCUGGCGGCAGGCCUAACACAUGCAAGUCGAGCGGCAGCGCGUCCGACCACCCUCGGGUGGUCGGAUGGCGGCGAGCGGCGGACGGGUGAGGAAUGCAUCGGAAUCUGCCUCGUUGUGGGGGAUAACGUAGGGAAACUUACGCUAAUACCGCAUACGACCUACGGGUGAAAGUGGGGGACCUUCGGGCCUCACGCGAUGAGAUGAGCCGAUGCCGGAUUAGCUAGUUGGCGGGGUAAAGGGCCCACCAAGGCGACGAUCCGUAGCUGGUCUGAGAGGAUGAUCAGCCACACUGGAACUGAGACACGGUCCAGACUCCUACGGGAGGCAGCAGUGGGGGAAUAUUGGACAAUGGGGGGCAACCCUGAUCCAGCCAUGCCGCGUGUGUGAAGAAGGCCUCGGUGUAAG